rnacentral:misc_RNA from 1 species
AAAUGCAGCUUGCUGCUUCUAUAUAUCUUACACCUGUGAACUAUUGCCUUCGGGCCAACAAACAUAAUGUAACGAAUGUAAAUUAUUAUAACAAAAUAUAACUUUCAACAACGGAUCUCUUGGCUCU